UGCACGUUUUGCACUUUUAUUGUUGUCUCAUUCACUAACAGUUCAAUGGUGCAAGAUUACCAUACACACAAUUAGGAUAUCUGCAUGACACAUCUAUGCUGUACAGCGAAUGGAUUAUAAUUAUUACAAAUACAGUAAACAUAUUUACAUUUUAGUUCAAGCUCCAUACAACAUAGAUAUUUACAAAGUAUGAAAAUGAAACCGGUCUGACAAGUAAUGUACAGCGUUAAUGACGUUUUUUUUCUCCUUUUCUUUUGGUGAACAAAUCUGAAAGGGGGCGGGGUUAACUGAUAUUAAUUGUCAGAGGGGGAAAAUAUCAUGGCUAGUUUUGUUUGAAAGGCAUCAGCGGAAAAACAAACACACACAGAAAAAUUCAAACCCUCUCUUAGUUCACACUAGAACAGGCCGCCACACCAUCAUUUGGUUUAAUAUGAGUGGAACAACUAAACCGCAAAUAGGCAAAUAAAGACUUUAUUUGACCAGUUAGUUGAACCUUUUAUUAAUAUGUGCAAAGAGCUGCAAACUAAUAUAUAUACACUGCAAACAAUAAAUACACAAUCCAAAAUAAAAACACCUCUGCAAAUGAAGUGGAAACGUUUGCUCUGGCGGCGCUUCGCAUCAACAUGUAUAUGAGGUACAUUGCACUUUUGAGAUUUGAUCUGUGCAUAGGUGCAUCUUUGAUGUGCAGCUCAGAGAUCCACAAUCCAGCACGUUUCUGUUUCUCUGACCGUCAGGCUGGCUGACCCCAGGUCACGUCAGAGCUUUGUUUUUUAUCUAUAUGUAACAGACAGUCGGUUCCUCUCCUUCCACGCAUUUCAUACGACACAGCAGGCAGACUGCUGGUUGGUUGACCAGAGUAUUUUAAUGUCUGUCAUUAACACAUCUCGAGAGGCGUAGGCGCCAAAAAGUGAAUCCGGAGCCAAAUGUAGCAGCUGCAGCACAGCACACAGAGCAAAUAUUUUCAUGGGGUAGUAUCAGAAAUAAGACCUUUGAAUAUGUAGUCCCUUUAACUUCUUUCCUUCUAUUAAACCCUUUGAGAAACAGCUAUCCAGUGUACUCCUGAUAUGAGCUCUUAUCAUUUGUUCCUGAUGUUCAAAUACAAUCCUGGACUCAACAUAUGUGGCUGUGUCUCUGUCCUUGCUAUAGAUAUGUGUUAAUGUGCAAAAUAAGGUUAAAAAAAUUAAGAAAUAAAUGUGAGUUAGAGCAAGCUAGAGGAGCAGAGAGGAAUGUGUUAAAUGAGGGUUAACUACCACAACAGACCGCAUGUACAAAUCAAGUUCUCCCUCUAGUUCGUUUUCAUCCUCCUAGUCCUCCUCCUCAUCUCCUUGUAACCCUGUUUUUACUCCUUGGGAUGAAAAAGCAAAAAGGGGCCCGAAUCUACUCCUGCAGGAACAAUCUGUCUUUUUUGUUUUUUUAAACUGCUGAGAUAUGAAGCGAUCCUCGCCUGUUUGUCUCUAGUUAGUCUGCAGUUUUUAUGUUAACAAGAAUGCAUGAGUAUUUUACUGACUCACUAACUGACACUGGCACUAUCUGUCACGGUUGGACGGUCCUUCCCGGACGACCUGCUUGUUUAUUUGUGAUGUGUGUGUGCGCCUCCCUCUCUUUCUCUCUCCCUCCCUAUUCUGCGGGUCUGGCUGCCUAGGAGCGGCGUCUCCAAGAGAGUGAGAAAGGCCGACCUCUGACCCGGAAGUAUAAUCUUCAGCUCCAGCUGCCGCUAAUCUUUCCUCACUAAACGGAGGUAUUUAACGGUGUGUCCAGACGGCAGUCGACGCUGGAUUGUACUCGGAGCUCGGUGGAGAAGUACGGGACGGAGGAGUGGAGAAAAAGGAUUCACUGGUGUUUUCGGGAGGAGGAACUCACACGGAAGGAGCACACACAGACCUCACGGGAAAACUCACCUUCAUCACUUUUGGGAAUUGAGAAAAAGGACAUUGUUGGAUAUCCCACUGUUUAAAGACUAUAUUUCAAGCACUGUAAAUAAACGCACUGUCUGCU